GCAUGAUUUUAUGCACUAUCCAUUGGGGCUACCAUAGUAGCCUUUGAACCACACGAGCCUAUGAUUCUUUCCCACUACUGGACUUUGAUGAAGAUCACCCACUGUCACUAACACCCUUACCUUUCUCCACCAUUGAAACACCCAACCCACCACACAUACGUGUUCAACAAAAUGCCCAGGUGACUAGAUGAAUAUUGAUGAAAUCGCACAAUCGCACAUAUGUGGCCUGGUUUUAAACUAGCUGUUGACUUGUAGUCUCCAUGCCAUUCCACUAUUGAGCCAUAGGUUAGAUGGAGAC
rnacentral:lncRNA from 1 species